GGUGCGGUAGUUCAGCUGGUUAGAAUACAUGCCUGUCACGCAUGUGGUUGCGGGUGGGGGUCCCGUUCGAACCG
rnacentral:tRNA from 1 species